rnacentral:rRNA from 1 species
UACGAAGGGGGCUAGCGUUGUUCGGAAUUACUGGGCGUAAAGGGCGCGUAGGCGGCGUGUCAAGUCAGGCGUGAAAGCCCCGGGCUCAACCUGGGAACCGCGCUUGAGACUGGCAUGCUCGAGUUCGGGAGAGGAUGGUGGAAUUCCCAGUGUAGAGGUGAAAUUCGUAGAUAUCGGGAGGAACACCAGUGGCGAAAGCGGCCGACUGGACCUGUCCUGACGCUGAGGCGCGAAAGCGUGGGGAGCGAACCGG